rnacentral:sRNA from 1 species
GUCUUCCCGCGCAGCCCCAUCCCUGUUUUCUGUGCUCCUUCGAGCUUGCUGUUUGUCCGGGUUUUUUACGUUUUAAUUUCCAGGACUUGAACUGCCAUGUCCUCUGAAGAAGGAAAGCUCUUCGUGGGAGGGCUCAACUUUAACACCGACGAGCAGGCACUGGAAGACCACUUCAGCAGUUUCGGACCUAUCUCUGAGGUGGUCGUUGUCAAGGACCGGGAGACUCAGCGGUCCAGGGGUUUUGGUUUCAUCACCUUCACCAACCCAGAGCAUGCUUCAGUUGCCAUGAGAGCCAUGAACGGAGAGGGGGUGGAGGGCAGCGGCAGACAGAGCCUGGCCGCCUGGGAGGCGACGACUGGUCCUGCAUGAGGCCGAGAAGCCACCUGUGGAUGGUUGACCUGCCUUGGGCUUAGGUAGUAGAGUCUGCAGACCUGUGGGCCUGGCCCGGAGAGGACCUCGUGAGUCUUCUGACAUGGACUCUGAAGCCUCAAACCAAGAGAGGUGUCUGUCUAGCCCUGAUAGUCGGGCAGCUUAGAGGAGUGGGGAGGAGAACUCAGCCUGAGUUCAGUCAAGAUUCUCUGGAUGGUCGUCAGAUCCGUGUGGAUCAUGCAGGCAAGUCUGCUCGGGGAACCAGAGGAGGUGGCUUUGGGGCCCAUGGGCGUGGUCGCAGCUACUCUAGAGGUGGUGGGGACCAGGGCUAUGGGAGUGGCAGGUAUUAUGACAGUCGACCUGGAGGGUAUGGAUAUGGAUAUGGACGUUCCAGAGACUAUAAUGGCAGAAACCAGGGUGGUUAUGACCGCUACUCAGGAGGAAAUUACAGAGACAAUUAUGACAACUGAAAUGAGACAUGCACAUAAUAUAGAUACACAAGGAAUAAUUUCUGAUCCAGGAUCGUCCUUCCAAAAUGGCUGUAUUUAUAAAGGUUUUUGGAGCUGCACUGAAGCAUCUUAUUUUAUAGUAUAUCAACCUUUUGUUUUUAAAUUGACCUGCCAAGGUAGCUGAAGACCUUUUAGACAGUUCCAUCUUUUUUUAAAAUUUUUCUGCCUAUUUAAAGACAAAUUAUGGGACGUUUGUAGAACCUGAGUAUUUUUCUUUUUACCAAUUUUUUAGUUUGAGCUCUUAGGAUUAUUGGAGCUAGCAAUAAUUGGUUCUGGCAAGUUUGGCCAGACUGACUUCAAAAAAUUAAUGUGUAUCCAGGGACAUUUUAAAAACCUGUACACAGUGUUUAUUGUGGUUAGAAAGCAAUUUUCCAAAUGUACCUAUAAGAAAUGUGCAUCAAGCCAGCCUGACCAACAUGGUGAAACCCCAUCUGUACUAAACAUAAAAAAAUUAGCCUGGCAUGGUGGUGUGUGCCUGUAAUCCCAGUGACUCGGGA